rnacentral:rRNA from 1 species
CUUGAGGACUGGAGGGGAGACUGGAAUUCACGGUGUAGCAGUGAAAUGCGUAGAUAUCGUGAGGAAGACCGGUGGCGAAGGCGAGUCUCUGGACAGAUCCUGACGCUGAGGCACGAAGGCUGGGGGAGCGAACAGGAUUAGAUACCCUGGUAGUCCCAGCAGUAAACGAUGUGAGCUUGAUGUGGGGGGAUUCGACCCCUUCCGUGUCGAAGCUAACGCGAUAAGCUCACCGCCUGAGGAGUACGGCCGCAAGGCUAAAACUCAAAGAAAUUGACGGGGACCCGCACAAGCGGUGGAGUAUGUGGCUUAAUUCGAUGCAACGCGAAGAACCUUACCUGGCCUUGACAUGCAUUGUGUCGUCGGUGAAAGCCGGCUAGUCCUGGAAACAGGACGCUUUGCACAGGUGCUGCAUGGCUGUCGUCAGCUCGUGUCGUGAGAUGUUGGGUUAAGUCCCGCAACGAGCGCAACCCUUGUGGUCAGUUACUAACCGGCUUAGCCGGAGGACUCUGGCCAGACGGCCCUGUCAAACGGGGAGGAAGGUGGGGACGACGUCAAGUCAGUAUGGCCCUUAUGGCCAGGGCUGCACACGUACUACAAUGCCCGGUACAAUGUGAACCGAAACCGCGAGGUGGAGGAAAUCGCUCUUGAAAACCGGGCCCAGUCCGGAUUGGAGUCUGCAACUCGACUCCAUGAAGUCGGAAUCGCUAGUAAUGGCGUAUCAGCAACGACGCCGUGAAUACGUUCCCGGGUCUUGUACACACCGCCCGUCACAUCAUGGAAGUCUCCUGUACCCGAAGCACGUGCGCCACCUUUUAGGAGCAGC